GGCUGGUUUGUGCUGCCUAACCUGGACUGACCGUGCGGCUGGCUGAGGCUGCACACCUGUUGCACAUUGAGCAAUCAGUGUGCAACAUGUUAAACCAGCCGUCACCACACAUCUCCUGCAUGGUAACCCGGAGCCCCAUGUAUCUCAUAGUCAGAUAUCGUUGUCUGCAACCUCACAAUGAACCGGUCUUCCAACACCACUGCUCUGCGUCCUUGUCUGGAGGAGCUCAGCUUAAGUUACCUAGGUGGAGUGUGGCAGCGUUGUUACAAACUCGAAUGCACCUGGAUACAUUUCACUCAGAUGUUCCGUGAUCUCCUUCACAAACCUUCCAUGACCUGAACUUCCUCUAUUUAGAAGCUUCUGUUUUGAGCCGGUGGCGGACUCAGAGGCGAGCCGGCGGCAGACUUGACUGAGACUCAAAUUGUCAUUUGGAAAGUGACAAGGUGCUGAUUUGUCGCCUGGCGAUGAGCGAUUGGACAUCACUGUUGACAAAUGGGCACUGGAACAAACCUGACAGCAGGGUAGCGAUGACAAAAUGCCUUCAGCCAGUGCUUGUCUUCUUUAUUUUUAUCUAUUAUCAUAGCUCGUCACAAGCUGGUUUAAAUUCUUAUAGGCGAAGGAUACGCUGACUAUACUACUCCCCAACACAUGCUUCAGAUGUUGUAGCAGUAUAUUAAAGCUAGGGGAGGCAAUAUAUUUUCAAAGCCUUUUUUGUCAUAUUUGUUGAUUUUCUUUAAAUCGCAAAAGCAACCGAUAAAUCAUAUGCUCUAUUGCUUUAAAUAAUAGUUCUUAUGCUCCUUUAAUGCCAUUCUUGUAUUCAGGGUUAUUUAUAAAUAAAAAUGUACAGCGGAACAAUUCUGGACAAAAGCAACAGAGCUCUAUAAGCAGAAUCUAUCUUAACCCCUACCUGCUCUUAAUACAUGCAGGAUUCAUUCAAUAUAGGUCACUUUGGUUAAAGGUGUCUACGUUUUUUCCUUUAAAGGUAGAACGUGUAAUUGAAUGUCCAGUGCAAAUGGUGUGUGUGUGUGUGUGUGUGUGUGUGUGUGUGUGUGUGUGUGUGUGUGUGUGUGUGUGUGUGUGUGUGUGUGUGUGUGUGUGUGUGUGUGUGUGUGUGUGUGUGUGUGUGUGUGUGUGUGUGUGUGGGAAACUCUACUAGAGGGAAGGUGAAUAAAUGAACCGGAUAAGAAACCUGUGUGUGUGUGGGGAACAGCUAUACUGAUGUCAUGGGUGUCGUAAGAAGACGGCAGUGGAAGAGAAUUAACCCAGGAGAUGGAAAUGAAUGCAGUUGUCUCCAGUGGGCUCCUUAAUGGCUGCUUCAUUAGAAGUAACUCACCAUGAACAUUUCCUGUUUCCUCUUACACCAGCUUUCUCUUUCAAAAAAA
ensembl:lncRNA